rnacentral:lncRNA from 1 species
AGAGCAAGUCUCCAAUACUAUCAAUAGUAUCGGGGCUCCGGUACUAUAAUCUUGUUUUCGAUCUUAGGGCAUGUUUGGUUCAUGAUUGGAAUAGGAAUGAGAAAUGGAAUUGGAUUGCUUUGAAAUGGAAAAUAGAAUGACGAAUCAUCUAAAAAUGUUUGGUUCAUUAUUGAAAUAGAAAUCGGAAUGAAAAUUUAAAAUUUUUGAGAGAGGGUUUUGAUUAAGAAAAAGGAAAGUUAUGAAGGGAGAAGAAGUAGGUGUUGAUGAAAGAAGAUUUUGAAUAGUUUACUUUGGAAUGGGCCUAUUGAUGCCAAAAUUGAAAUUAACAUGCCGACCUAACCCACGUAUGAGCCAAUAAGGAUACGUGGUAUACCAGGAGUCGGCAAUAAGGCGCCUGAAGAUUUUAGGCGGGAACGGUUGAGAAAUGGGGUGUAACUUUCAUAAGAAGUGGGCGUACCUUCUACGAUGGGGCGUAACUUUCAUAAGGAGUGGGCAUAAUUUCCAUGAUCAUGAUUACAACCACUGCCCCCACUACUUUCAACCAACCAAUAAUGUGGGUUGAUAUUACUAUAAAUAGUAAUUUCGAAGCCUGCAAUAGGAGCCUUUCUCCCCCUCGAACGAGAAGACCAUCUUUAUUUUCUCUGCAAUUUUAUCGCUUUUCUAGAAGUAGUCUAAAUGUAAUCUUUUUUUUCUUUUCCUAAC